rnacentral:rRNA from 1 species
GAGCGGGUGAGUAUCACGUGAGUAACCUGCCCUUGACUCUGGGAUAAGCCCGGGAAACUGGGUCUAAUACUGGAUAGGACUGGCCAUCGCAUGGUGGUUGGUUGAAAGCUUUUGCGGUUUUGGAUGGACUCGCGGCCUAUCAGCUUGUUGGUGGGGUAAUGGCCUACCAAGGCUUUGACGGGUAGCCGGCCUGAGAGGGUGACCGGCCACACUGGGACUGAGACACGGCCCAGACUCCUACGGGAGGCAGCAGUGGGGAUAUUGCACAAUGGGCGCAAGCCUGAUGCAGCGACGCCGCGUGAGGGAUGACGGCCUUCGGGUUGUAAACCUCUUUCAGUUGGGAAGAAGCCUUUCGGGGUGACGGUACCUUCAGAAGAAGCACCGGCUAACUACGUGCCAGCAGCCGCGGUAAUACGUAGGGUGCGAGCGUUAUCCGGAAUUAUUGGGCGUAAAG